rnacentral:rRNA from 1 species
GACGAACGCUGGCGGCGUGCCUAAUACAUGCCAGUUGAGCGCUGAAGGUUGGUACUUGUACCAACUGGAUGAGCAGCGAACGGGUGAGUAACGCGUGGGGAAUCUGCCUUUGAGCGGGGGACAACAUUUGGAAACGAAUGCUAAUACCGCAUAAAAACUUUAAACACAAGUUUUAAGUUUGAAAGAUGCAAUUGCAUCACUCAAGGAUGAUCCCGCGUUGUAUUAGCUAGUUGGUGAGGUAAAGGCUCACCAAGGCGAUGAUACAUAGCCGACCUGAGAGGGUGAUCGGCCAAAUUGGGACUGAGACACGGCCCAAACUCCUACGGGAGGCAGCAGUAGGGAAUCUUCGGCAAUGGACGAAAGGCUGACCGAGCAACGCCGCGUGAGUGAAGAAGGUUUUCGGAUCGUAAAACUCUGUUGGUAGAGAAGAACGUUGGUGAGAGUGGAAAGCUCAUCAAGUGACGGUAACUACCCAGAAAGGGACGGCUAACUACGUG